rnacentral:rRNA from 1 species
GAUGAACGCUGGCGGCGUGCCUAAUACAUGCAAGUCGAGCGAACAGACGAGGAGCUUGCUCCUCUGACGUUAGCGGCGGACGGGUGAGUAACACGUGGAUAACCUACCUAUAAGACUGGGAUAACUUCGGGAAACCGGAGCUAAUACCGGAUAAUAUAUUGAACCGCAUGGUUCAAUAGUGAAAGACGGUUUUGCUGUCACUUAUAGAUGGGUCCGCGCCGCAUUAGCUAGUUGGUAAGGUAACGGCUUACCAAGGCGACGAUGCGUAGCCGACCUGAGAGGGAGAUGGGCCACACUGGAACUGAGACACGGUCCAGACUCCUACGGGAGGCAGCAGUAGGGAAUCUUCCGCAAUGGGCGAAAGCCUGACGGAGCAACGCCGCGUGAGUGAUGAAGGUCUUCGGAUCGUAAAACUCUGUUAUUAGGGAAGAACAAAUGUGUAAGUAACUAUGCACGUCUUGACGGUACCUAAUCAGAAAGCCACGGCUAACUACGUG